GAGUGGCCGCGACACGUGGUAGUGGCCGGUUCCUCAAGGCUGGGCUCACUCUAAGGAUUUUCUCUGCUCACUCGGCGGUGCUUCUCCCUAGGGAGCUCUGCCUUAAGGGGAUUGGAGUUUGCAAAUGGAAGGAUUUAAACCCCAACGCUGGAUCCUGGUUCUCCAAAUGAACCGGCUGAUAGCGCGAGAGACAUGACAGGUCCUCUUUGGCGCCCCCUGUGUCCUCCACCUCUGUUUGCUGUCCCUUUCUGCUCCCGGUCUCCACCCCUGCAGACCCCACUGAACAGUUUCAUCUCAAGGAACCUCCAGUCCGAAGUGAGUACAGGUGCAAACCCUGGAACGGAACGCAGAUGCAAAUAGUGUAUUUGCAGCGGAUCCCAGGAGACACUGCAGGGGGCGGGAAAGGGGGCCAGGAAAGGGAGCAUUAUAGAGCCACUCCUGCAGAAGCUGUUCCCACUUCUCCUUUCCUGUCUCAACCUCAACAUCCCAAAAUCUUAUGUUCUGUUUGACCGGGACGCGGUAAGGCCAGGCUCCUUGCCUGCGUGGAGCCUGCGCGUCAUUAAGGGGUAGGGCUCGGGCGUGAGCAAAAGCUGCCGAGCGUCUUAAGGCCUGGCCUCAGAAGUCACCUCGUGUCACCUCUGCUGCGUUGUGAGGGUCGAAGCACGUCACCGAGCCCAGCCACAGCCAAGGAGUCGGGAGAUAGGACAUGUUGGUUUAGUUGGAGUGGUGCAGUCACGCUGUGGAAGGCCGUGUGCCCCAGGAUGGGGUGGGGGGGGGGCCUUGAAACUGUAUUUUACCCUUCGCUGAAGUACAGGUCUCCUCCAGUCUCUGGCCAAGGGCUUCCUUGAACCCUCUCCCCCAUGGCCAUGUCUUCCGUGCUCCUCGGCCACUCACGCCCGUGACCCUACCUCCCGAAUCUCGCCGUCAGAGCAACCGCGGCCCCUCAUACCCUGGGUCCCGGCACCCCAGCCUCUGACCCCACUCCCACCUCUCCUGCCAUUCGGGACCAACAGGUCCUUGACCCCAGUGGGGCUGUGGGUAUGUCAAUUUUCUACGGACCGUCAGCCUCCUUAUACUGCCCACCAGCCUGACCCCACGGGCCAUUGCUCCGGUCUCUGUCCCCCACCCCUUUACCUCCACCCUCAGCUCUCAGGCUCUUUUCUGACCUCGGGGUGUCCACCCAGCAAAAUCCGGCCUCGGGCACAGCCAGCCCCAUGCCCGCACCCACGAAGUUGAAUGCGGCUGGAGGGAACCCCGCAGGCGUCCUGCGAGAACUGAGUUGUAACCCCCGUCGGAAGGCGGGGAGGAAUGAAGAGGCGAUAACAACCCUUCAGACCUCAGAUCUGAGCCGUGGACAGUUAGGCAUGCGGACCUCUCCCCUCCUCCUUCUAGUCCGAGAGCCGAACCCGGGCACUGGCUCGUGCUGGCUCUUCCCUCCCACCGCAUUCACCACACGCCCACGAAGUGCCCCCGAUCUCGGUCGCGCACCGGGCAGUUACGGGGCUCAGAGGAGCUAGGCAGGGCCCGGAACCAGCGCGAACUCCAGGGGUGGUCUGGGGGCUGGCCGCACCCGCAUCACGUGGGAGCUUGUUGAGAAGAAAGGUUCUCAGGGCCUCACCCCGGACCUGCAGAAUCAGAAUCCCCGGGGGCGGGCGUCGGACCCAGAGGCUGUGUUUGGGCAAGCCCUCUGGUGCCUCUUAUUUAUGCUGGAGUUUGAGGAUCCUGUCUAGACACUUGCUGAUUAGUGUGUGACACCAAGACCCGGGCGCUCGUCCAAAACGGCAGGCCCUGGGACCUCACCACGGGCCCCCUGAAAGAGAAACUGCGUUUUCACCGGGCCCCCCCAGGGAUCUGUCACGGGGCCCAGGGGCUGGAGGUGGCCGAAGGACGCGUCCCAGGGGCGUAGACGCUCAGGAAACCUUGGGUGACUGGUUGUGGCGCCGGGCUGCCCAGAGAGGUUCCACUUCCCGGGCCCAGGCUGAGGCUCAGCGGGGACGCCCUGGGGCCUGACCUCGCAUCUGGUCCCUUCGCUGUAUUAGCGAGGCUGGGGGAGAGUCGCGCCUACCCGUCGCCGGUGGGGGUAGAAAUCCGGUCCCCCUCCCCGGAGGGCUCUUUGGCCAUGUCUGCCGCGCCCCAGGCUGGACGGACGGAGCAAAGGCCGUGUGCCCUGGAUGCCGCCAGCAGGAAGGCCCUGGUGGGGAAGGUACAAUGUCUCUGGAAGGAAGCAGGAUGAACGGCUAAUAUUCCUGGUCCCUGGGGAGGGAAACAGGUGCGCCUGGGGGAGACACCAAGCCCGAGUUUUCACUGUCUGUUACUUUGUACCGCCUGGCUACAACUGUUAUCUGCC